rnacentral:rRNA from 1 species
AUAUGAAAGAGAUUAAAGAUUUAUGGGUGAUGGAUGGGGAUGCGUCUGAUUAGCUUGUUGGGGGGGUAACGGCCCACCAAGGCAACGAUCAGUAGGGGUUCUGAGAGGAAGGUCCCCCACAUUGGAACUGAGACACGGUCCAAACUCCUACGGGAGGCAGCAGUGAGGAAUAUUGGUCAAUGGACGAGAGUCUAAACCAGCCAAGUAGCGUGCAGGAAGACGGCCCUAUGGGUUGUAAACUGCUUUUAUAAGGGAAUAAAGUGAGUCUCGUGAGACUUUUUGCAUGUACCUUAUGAAUAAGGACCGGCUAAUUCCGUGCCAGCAGCCGCGGUAAUACGGAAGGUCCGGGCGUUAUCCGGAUUUAUUGGGUUUAAAGGGAGCGUAGGCCGGAGAUUAAGCGUGUUGUGAAAUGUAGAUGCUCAACAUCUGAACUGCAGCGCGAACUGGUUUCCUUGAGUACGCACAAAGUGGGCGGAAUUCGUGGUGUAGCGGUGAAAUGCUUAGAUAUCACGAAGAACUCCGAUUGCGAAGGCAGCUCACUGGAGCGCAACUGACGCUGAAGCUCGAAAGUGCGGGUAUCGAACAGGAUUAGAUACCCUGGUAGUCCGCACGGUAAACGAAAGAGGCCCGCUGUUGGUUCUGAAAAGUUCAGCGGCCAAGCGAAACCAUAAGCCAUCCCCCCUGGGGGAGUACCCGGGCAACGGUGAACUCCAAAGGAAUUGACGGGGGCCCCGCACAGCGGGAGGAACAUGUGGUUUAAUUUCGAUGAUACGCGAGGAACUUUACCCGGGCUUGAAUUGCAGAGGAAGGAUUUGGAGACAAUGACGCCCUUCGGGGCCUCUGUGAAGGUGCUGCAUGGUUGUCGUCAGCUCGUGCCGUGAGGUGUCGGCUUAAGUGCCAUAACGAGCGCAACCCCUCUCCUUAGUUGCCAUCAGGUGAAGCUGGGCACUCUGGGGACACUGCCACCGUAAGGUGUGAGGAAGGUGGGGAUGACGUCAAAUCAGCACGGCCCUUACGUCCGGGGCUACACACGUGUUACAAUGGCAGGUACAGAGAGACGGUCCCUUGCAAAAUGGAUCAAAUCCUUAAAGCCUGUCUCAGUUCGGACUGGGGUCUGCAACCCGACCCCACGAAGCUGGAUUCGCUAGUAAUCGCGCAUCAGCCAUGGCGCGGUGAAUACGUUCCCGGGCCUUGCACU